UGUGUAGGUGGCAAGAUAAGUUAGGUGUGAAAUCCUCGGGCUUAACCUGAGAAUUGCGCUUAAUACUGUCUGGCUAGAGUACUGCAGAGGGUAGUGGAAUUUCCAGUGUAGCGGUGAAAUGCGUAGAUAUUGGAAGGAACAUCAGUGGCGAAGGCGACUACCUGGAUAGAUACUGACACUGAAACACGAAAGCGUGGGUAGCAAACAGGAUUAGAUACCCUGGUAGUCCACGCUGUAAACGAUGAGAACUUGCUGUUGGGUGCAUAAAAGUACUUAGUAGCGGAGCUAACGCGUUAAGUUCUCCGCCUGGGGAGUACGGCCGCAAGGUUAA
rnacentral:rRNA from 1 species